AAACUCGAGUCAUGAUGAACGAGGUCUUCAACCCUUGGAGCCUAAUGAAUGUCACAUAUUCAAGCUUACUCGCACAUUCCAAAAGUCGCGCCGGAUUCGUCUCCUGUCAACACCAUGAAUCCGUCGUAUUCAUCUUAUACGAGCUCAUCGUGCCACGAAUCCAAUGUCCUCCUCCGGAUUUGAAAGAAAUCUCAGUAACACGAAACACACCAGAAAAAGCGCUUAUGGAAAGAAGCUAAGAUGGAAAUUUCUCCUUGCGCCAAAUGAAGGACGUGACUCUACCUCCAUAGUUCGCAGCUUAGAAUCAUCAUCCACACUCGAAUCAACUCAUGUACGCACAUGACAACGAAUAAGAAGAACGAGAAUGGAUGUAAGAGGCUUAUCGGACUCGAAGCUUUACUCAUUGACAGAUGAAGAACACCUCUGAUUAUAGAAUAAAGCUUGAGGCUCUAGAAUGAAGCUCUUGCAGAAGUUACAGAAUCAAGCUCUUGCAGACGUUGCAGAAUGAAAAUCUUGCAGACGUUGCAGAAUGAAGAUAAGCGUAGCUUGAAGAAUCAAGAGGUUGUGUAAGUUUGGAAUGAAGAAAUUUCCGAAAUUAAAAAAGUGAUGCGGAAUGAGGCAAAUGAAAUGUUAUAGAGAGGAAUGAAGAGCUGUAACUGAAUCGGGCAGGUCGUGAACAUCGGGCACCGUUAGGGCAGGAUGAAAAUGAUAUUUUUCUCUACUGUAUUAGUAGGCUGGAUGAUUUUUGCAAAGCUGUCAUGAAUGGCGGGCAUAAUAAUGUUUCUACUGUCAACAUGAAAAUGCAGGAUGCAAGGGUCAAGGAUUUUGUUCGAGUGAGAUGAAGGGAAAGUUGGAAUGUUUUAAGGGUGAGAUUCAAGCUCUUUUAUGCAUUGUGGGAAUCAUAUAUUUCUGUUAUGCUAAAAAAUUCGGUUCGUUUCUUGUUAGGUGAUGAAAUUGAAGGUUGGUUAUAGGUUCUAUUAGGAGAGCUCAUGAGAGUUCAUACUUGGUUUUUAUGCAUAUUUUUUUGGUGGUUUGUGUAGGUUUAGUUCUGAAUUAGAAAAUGAGAGCUAAGAAUUCGCUUCCUUCUUCGCAGGUUAUUUUUAGUUUUGGCUGAUGACUUGAAGUGCAAUUGACAUGCUUGGACUUCGACAUGAAAAGAUGGAUGGUGCUUUGGAUAUGUGUAAGACCCCAAUUUUGACCCUAAGAUUCCUCAUGCAAUUUCAUUAUAUGCAUUAGCAUUGGGAUCAUACCUUGACAUCCUCCUUACCCCUGUUUCAUUGGGUUUGUUCUGGGAGAGAUCACCAAGCACCAUGUGAUUGUAUCAUACUUGUAAAUUAUCAUUUUACUAACCAAAAUACCAAAAAUAUGUCUUUGCAUUUACCUAACUCUUUUGUAGGUAGGGCAUGAUCACCCUUGAUAUAUCAAGUUCACAUCUAGGGUUUAAGACCCUCAUUGCUAAGAGCUCAACCAAAGAAUGAUCUACAAUGUCUCUAAGCAUCAUAUAUGAGUCCCAAGGAUCUCUACAUGUUAUUUUGAUCAAGCAUGCUUCAAGAGUUUGGAGUUGGUUUACCUUGGAAACCCUAGUUCAUCUGGGUAUCUUGUGUAACUUCUUCAACAAGCUUCUUCACCAAUUGAUCAGAUUUUUAAAGGGACACUUCAAAUUUUAUCAUCUUAUGCAUAUAUGAUCUACCAUGAGCCUAAAAAGUCAAGAGAAUUGCAAGUUAGCAAGUUGGUUGAUGGUGGUUGGCCAGAUGAAUUCAUCUGAUCAAAACUGGGUCUCCAUAGACCCCAUAUCCUACACUUUUCAUCAUAUAAAAAUAAUUCCAAGAUGAGAGUUACUCUAAAUGACACUCCAAACAAAUUUCAUGUUGAGGUCUAGAGCUAAUUUUGCUUGGAAAGUCAUUUUCUAUGUUGAAACAUUAUAUGUCAUUUUGUCUAAACCCUAAUUUGAAAGUCAACUUCCCAA